rnacentral:rRNA from 4 species
UUAUACAGCGAAACUGCGAAUGGCUCAUUAUAUAAGUUAUCGUUUAUUUGAUAGUACCUUACUACUUGGAUAACCGUGGUAAUUCUAGAGCUAAUACAUGCUAAAAAUCCCGACUUACGAAGGGAUGUAUUUAUUAGAUUAAAAACCAAUGCCCUUCGGGGCUCACUGGUGAUUCAUAAUAACUUCUCGAAUCGCAUGGCCUUGCGCCGGCGAUGGUUCAUUCAAAUUUCUUCCCUAUCAACUUUCGAUGCUAGAGUAGUGUUCUAGCAUGGUUACAACGGGUAACGGAGGGUUAGGGCUCGACCCCGGAGAAGGAGCCUGAGAAACGGCUACUACAUCCAAGGAAGGCAGCAGGCGCGCAAAUUACCCAAUCCCGACACGGGGAGGUAGUGACGAUAAAUACUGAUACAGGGCUCUUUUGGGUCUUGUAAUUGGAAUGAGUACAAUUUAAAUCCCUUAACGAGGAACAAUUGGAGGGCAAGUCUGGUGCCAGCAGCCGCGGUAAUUCCAGCUCCAAUAGCGUAUAUUAAAGUUGUUGUGGUUAAAAAGCUCGUAGUAGAACCUUGGGCCUGGCUGGCCGGUCCGCCUCACCGCGUGCACUGGUCCGGCCGGGCCUUUCCCCCUGUGGAACCUCAUGCCCUUCACUGGGUGUGUGGGAAAACAGGACUUUUACUUUGAAAAAAUUAGAGUGCUCCAGGCAGGCCUAUGCUCGAAUACAUUAGCAUGGAAUAAUAGAAUAGGACGUGUGGUUCUAUUUUGUUGGUUUCUAGGACCGCCGUAAUGAUUAAUAGGGACAGUCGGGGGCAUCAGUAUUCAAUUGUCAGAGGUGAAAUUCUUGGAUUUAUUGAAGACUAACUACUGCGAAAGCAUUUGCCAAGGAUGUUUUCAUUUAUCAGGAACGAAAGUUAGGGGAUCGAAGACGAUCAGAUACCGUCGUAGUCUUAACCAUAAACUAUGCCGACUAGGGAUCGGACGAUGUUAUUUUUUGACUCGUUCGGCACCUUACGAGAAAUCAAAGUGCUUGGGCUCCA